rnacentral:rRNA from 1 species
UACAUAGGGUGCAAGCGUUGUCCGGAAUUAUUGGGCGUAAAGAGCGUGUAGGCGGCCCGAUUAGUCCGCUGUGAAAGUCCAGGGCUCAACCCUGGAAUGCCGGUGGAUACUGUCGGGCUAGAGUCCGGAAGGGGCGAGUGGAAUUCCUGGUGUAGCGGUGAAAUGCGCAGAUAUCAGGAGGAACACCAAUGGCGAAGGCAGCUCGCUGGGACGUGACUGACGCUGAGACGCGAAAGCGUGGGGAGCAAACAGG